CUCAAUCUUCUCAAUGGGUCGCGAUCCGAUCCGUAGAUAGAUUCUGUGAAGCACUGCUCUUACUAGGGCUAGCGUUUUUUUUUAAUUGCCGUAUAGGCAGACGAGCAUACGGCCCACCUGAUGGCGAGUGGUUAGUUAUUGUUGUUAUUAUUUCCAAAAAGGAAAAAAAAGCUUCUCAAAUACAAGAAUAUCUAUUGUCUUGUAUAAACAAACUUUAUAAGUAUCGCCACUCGUAAGGCGAGCUCGGCCUCAUGAUAAUUUCUUUUAUACUAUCAUCCGUUUUAUGUGAUUUUUGAUCGUUGUGUGAAUACAUAAAGAUUAUAAUCGUUUAACGUACUCUCGCCUAAUUUAAUCGCGUACAAUGAGCUUAAUAUAAAAGCUCAUUUAUAUAUAAUAGCUAUAAGAAAAAUCUUGUGUUCGAGCUCACAGAAUUAUCUUCUCUUCGAGACAUUUAUGCAUCUUCUAAUAGUUGCAUGAUCUUUGAAGUCAUCGUGGCCUAAAGGAUAAGACGUCCGGUGCAUUCGUAUCGAGCGAUGCAACGGAGUUCGAAUCCCGCAGGCGGGUACCAAUUUUUCUAAUGAAAUACGUACUUAACAAACGUUCACGACUGACUUCCACGGUCCAAACCCACAAAAUUAUAAUUUGCGUAAUUACUGGCAGUAGGAUCUCUUGUUAGUCCGCACGGGUAGGUACCACCACCCUGCCUAUUUCUGCCGUGAAGCAGUAAUGCAUUUCGGUUUGAAGGGUGGGGCAUCCGUUGUUAAUUAUGGGUGGCGAAUUUACGUUGUAGAUGUCUAUGGGCUCCAGUAACCACUUAACACCAGGUGGGCUGUGAGCUCGUCCCCUCAUCUAAGCGAUAAAAAAAAGUCAAAUCUAAUUUAAG